ACAUGCCUACAACAUAGCAUUAAUGCAUCGAUUCCCAUUAGAAAUCCGCAGUUAAGCAUGCUCAGGAUACAGUAGUAUUGGGAUGGAUGAUUGCCCAGGAAGUCCUAAUGUUUUACAUGCC
rnacentral:rRNA from 1 species